rnacentral:lncRNA from 1 species
UCCAGUAAUUUUUCUUCCUACUCUCUAGUGGUGCUCAAUUGGUCUCUUGAUUCUCUUUGUCUUGGGGUAACAGCAGGAAGCACACUAAGCCUAAACCUUACAUUCUAUCUGCAGGUGAGAAUAGUCCACCACAGGAAGUAGUUAGUCAUGUGAAUCCCUCUGCUGCUCCACCAGCUGGACAGGAGCCAUGAAGGAAGCAAUGGACAUAGAAACAAUCAGGAUAGAUGGUAAAGAAUGUUGCUUGUCCUGAUUUUUUGGAGGGCUCACGGGUGAUAUCUAAAUAUGAAAUUCACAUGACUUAACCAAGCUAGGGGCAGAAAUAUAAGAACCCAUUGAAAUGAUCCUGUGAGGAUCUAACUGAGCUACAGGAAAAAUGGGGAUCUUGUUAUGAAGAAUGAUCUUCAGGGCUAAGAGAAGGAGCAUUCCUCAAACCAUCAUGGGAAGGGGAGUAUAAUAGAUAUGGAUAUAAACAGUAAAGCACUGAAUCUAAUCUCAUAGAAUUAUAAUGUCAAUUUUGCAAACUAUGGACAAGCCUAAUCUUUGACUCAAGACAUUAUGAAAAGAAAAGUAUUACUGACAAUAACUGAACUCAUUCUCUGGAUUGUAGAAGCUUAAAUAGCAGCUAAUGUUUACUCAGAACAUUAUUUGUUUUCAGCCCUGCAUGGCAGGAUUUAUAUUUAGAUGCCCAAUGCAAUCCAUGUUGUCAAAGAAAUAUGAAUGUAGGUGCUUGUUUGCUAUAAUUCUCCACAGAAUCAUCAACUACCAUGGGAGCAAAAAUGGGGUCCAUUGGUUAUUUAGGCCAAAACAUAAUAGAACUUUUAUGACUGGAAUGGGAUGCAGUGUGGUAUAAUGGAAAACAUUUGAGUCUUUGAAGUUACAGAAAACUGGCUUCAGUUCAGUGCUCUUAAGUGCAAGAAAUGUUUUCAGCCUGAUAAGCCAGAGUUUAUAAACACAUGAACUUCUCAUAAUAUCAGCACUGUGUGUGCACUUGCAUACCAAGACAAAUGAAGAUAGCACCACUUUGAAGGACAUGAUAAGUUACAAGAAAGAUGACUUCAACACAUUAUUUUCUUUUUAAUUUUAUGUGUAUGGAUAUUGGCCUACAUAUAUGUGUCUGUAACAUAUGCUUUCCUAAUUCUUGUGGAAGUCAAAAAGGGGCAUUGAAUCUUCUAGAACUAGGGUUACAGAUGAUUAUGAACUGCUAUGCAGGUUUUGGGAAUCAAACUCUGGACCUUGGGAAGAACGGCUGGCACUUGUGUUUGUUGAGCCAUCUCUCCAGCCCUAAUACAUAGUGCUUUUUUAUAAUUUAUUUUUUAUUUAAGUUAGUAGCAAGUUUGUUUCACACAUCAAUCCCAGCUCCCUCUCCCUACCCUCCUUCCCUGCCCCACACCAACCCCCCCAAGGCCCACCCCAUCACCCCUCCACUCCCCAGGGAGGUUGAGGCCCUCCAUGGGGGAUCUCAAAAGUCUGUCAUAUCAUACCAGGCAGUUCCUAGACCCUCCCCCAUGUGUCCAGGUUGAGAGAGCAUUCCUCCAUGUGGAAUGGGCUUCCAAAAUCCAUUCGUGCACCAAGGAAAAAUACUGAUCUACUACCCAAGGCCCCAUAGAUUGUGGAGGCCUCCUCACUGACACCCACAUUCAGGGAGUCUGGAUCAGUCCCAUGGUGGCCUCUCAACCAUCAGUCUGGGGUCCAUGAGCUCCCACUUGUUCAUGUCAGCUGUUUCUGUGGUUUUCACCAGACCAGUCUUGACCCCUUUGCUCAUCACUCCUCUCUCUCUGCAACUGGGUUCCAGGAGUUCAGUUCAGUGUUUAGCUGUGCUUGUCUGCCUUUGCUUCCAUUAGCCACUGGAUGAAGGCUCUAGGAUGGCAUAUAAGGUAGUCAUCAAACUCAUUAUCAGGGAAGAGAAUUUAAGGUAGCUUCUCUUCUUUUGCUUAGAUUGUUAUUUGUUGUCAUCCUUGUAGAUCUCUAGAAAUCUCCCUGGUGCCAGAUUUCUCUUUAAAACUAUAAUGGCUCCCUCUAUUAUGAUAUCUCUUACCUUGCUCUCCUCUAUUCUUCUCCUGACUCAACCUUCCUGCUCCCCAAUGUCCUCCUCUCCCCUUCUCUUCUCUCCCUCUCUUUCUCCCAGCUCUCUCGCCCCUCCCCCCAUGCUCCCAAUCUGCUCAGGAGAUCCUGUCCCAUUGCCCUUCUCCAGGGUACCAUGCAUGUCUCUCUUAGGGUCCUCCCUGUUUCCCAGACUUUUUGGUGGUGGGGCUGUAUGCUGACAAUCCCCUAUACCAUGUCUAAAAUCCAUAUAUGAAUGAGUACAUACCAUGUUUACAAGGUGUUUUUAAAUAAAGGGAGUAAAGAAGCUGCUACAUGGUUACUAAGGAAGAAUGCCCAACCUACUUGAAACAGUUUCAGGCCACAUCUUAGGAGAUAGAUACCUAGGCAAGAAUGAUGAAAUCAAGUCCCAAUCAUAGCUACUAUUAUGAAUAAAGACAUAUGAUCACACUGGAUACCACACACACACACACACACACACACACACACACACACACACACACCACAUAAACUCCAAGUGAGGAAGAGGGAAAUUGCUUUACUUUCUGAGCCCUCACCUCCUCAAUAUAAAAUGAUUAUUAAUAAUGUCCACACGAGGGGAUUAUUACCAUGAUGUAAAGCUAAAAAGCAAUAGUGUACUCAGGACAGUGUUUAUAACUCAGAAAUUUCCAAGUGUGUAACACUGUUCUCAAAAUAUUUAGUCUAUUGAAUUUUAAUGCAUGAUUUACACUUUAUGGUCAGAUGUAAUCUGGAUGAUACUGCUAAAUAACACAAACUUUAGAGUGAUUCAUUUAGAAUCAGAAACAUUAAUAUAUUUUUCCAUUGUGAAUCUUUAAGGAUGUGAGAGAAAGGGGGAGUAUAUAACACUUUUCAGAACAUUUUGAAACAUCCCAAGGGACUCAUGUUCCAUAAUUAUGGUAAGAACUAUUGGUCAAGACUGGGCUAGCACAUGAGAUACACUGCAUAGCUUCAAUACAUCUGUCUUUGUGUUUCAUGAGUUCAUUACAUUUGAAGGUCAAUUAUUUUUUAUCCCAGGACAAUCUGAGUCUGUGUCACAGGGAUUCAUAUCAAUUAUUAGGAGUUAUGUGAGUCAGGGUCUCUGUAGCCUACCAGAGUUGGCUGUGUGAAGUACUAUGCUCUAAUCUUUUGGGUAUCUGGAAUUAUGGAUGGUUGUGAGCUGUCAUGUAGGUGCUAUGAAACAAACCCAGACCCACUCUGGGAAAUAACCUGUUGCUUUGUAAGUAAUAAGUCAGCUCUGAGCCUCACAGGUAUAGGAAAAAUUAGUCUUCUGUGCCUUUGUUUUUACUUAUGAAAUAGAUGAUGGGUUCACAACCAUACUUCAUCAGCAUCUCUCUAGGAUUUUAUCACAUCAUUUCAUAAUUUAGUCUAUAAUCUACUAAAUCUCAGCACCCUCAAGUUGUAGGUAAGGGAACCUUGGUACAUGGAGCAGAAUGUCACUUUCAGUCAGAUUCUACAUUCAAUGAUAUUUGAACAAUAAAUUAAAGACUCCCAACAGGUGUAUAGACCAUGUAGAACAGUUUUCUGCCUAGAGGGCCAAUGGUUACUCCUUAAAUUGAGUUCAGUGGGGAUAGUCAGACAACCAUGUCCAGCAAGAAGGUAUCUAUCUGGUGCAAUAUAGCACAGGAAGUGACUUCCCAGUCUCGAAGUAGAGUUCCUCUGAAGUAAAGCACCAUCUGUGCAACUGCUAAAGGACCUCCAUCAGCCCACCAAACCAAUCCCAAGUCAGAAUUUAGAAAAGAGAACCCGUGUCUCACUCGCACUGCAGUUCCCACACAUGCCACAAGUUUUAGGCUUCUUCUUACAUUAUGUUGGCAGACUAGGAACACAGAGACUUCACACUUCCUCUGUCUUUAGUGCUACUAUUCUACUCUCUCAUUUAAUCUCCAAGAAGAAACACUGAAAAUAAAGUCAUUAUCUUCCAUCUUUACAAAUGAUGACAGUAAAACUCCAAAGAGUAAAUGACUAUUCUUCAUUCAGCUAGUGAGGCCAGGAGCUGGGUUUUCACCUUGCCCUUGACUCCAUGUUCCUGUGACAUGGUCUACCUACACCCAUGGGAGUAUGAUGAUACUGGUGCAAGAGAUUCUGGGGCACAGGAUUGAAAGUGCUCCCAUGGGUGCUAUUGUAUCCUAGUUCACCUGAGGGAUUUGUGAAGGAAGCAGGUAACAUACCCUGUUGCCAAAGAGGACAGCAGGGUCCUUCUACCAGUGCUGCAAGACUGACACCAUGUGGCUGCAUCAGCCUCCCAGGGCUUCCUAAGUCACCUGCCAAAGAAGCUCUAGGUAAGAGUUCACCAGCCUCUGAAAGUUCUCAGAAAGGAGUUAGCAACAGAACAACCAACAAAGAGCCAAGCACAGGACUGGAGACUAUGGAAGAGGGCCUCUUGCCAAUUACACACACCAGUUUGUUUGGGACAUGGAGGAUGGAAAAUGUGCAGUUUUGAUGUGUUUAUUAGUUUAUAAAUCCCUUUCUUUAGGAAGGCUAUUCUAACAGAUGAUUUUAAAAGAUGUCUAAAAUCCCAUUAGAGAGUCAAUUUUAUAUUCUAUUGCAAAAAGGGAAGCAAAGAGAAAUACUGGUAGAAAAAAGGUACAGGCUCAGAAAUAAAACAAUAUAAACAAGCAGAGCUAAGAGUGCAAUGCAAAGAUCUGAGUAGGAUAUGGAUUAAGCUUUGCAUCUUUUUGUAAGGGAAUUAAUGGACAGAGCACUCAUUGAUAAUAGUCUGUCCUACAAAAAUAAUCAAACUGAGACCCAAAGAACAAUGGAACUCACUCUAAUAUUAACAGAAGCAGGGAAAAAGAAUUCUGAGGCACUGACAGUGGGCAAGCAGUAAAGGUUGAGGCUCAUUGGUGUGUGUGUGUGUGUGUGUGUGUGUGUGUGUGUGUGUGUGUGUUGAGUGUUGUGUGUAGUGUGUGCAUUUGUGUGUAUGUGUGUGUGUGAUGAGUGUUAUGUGCAGUGUAUAUGUGUGCAUAUGUGUGUGUAUUUAUAUUAUUUUGUGCUUCCCCUUUAAGUGAUUGAUGCCAAUUAGUUUGCUUUGGCUAAAAUGCAAGAAUUCCAUUUUAAGAAGUCAAUGCUGGGCUUUUACUGAGGAACACAAUAAAUUAAUCAUUAAAUCUAUUGUAUUGACUGAACCUUGGACGACAUGAAAAAUUGCAGUGCAAGAAAUAUUUUGGUUGAAAGGACCUUAGCAUCCCAAGGGAAGGUGAGUGGCUGUCAUCAUAAUACUGUAUUAUCAUUUCCUCCCUUGGAUCAAAGCUUCAUUUAUCAACUCUAAAAUAAAUAUGGUAACCUUUUAAUUCAAAAAACCCACCCUAAGUGAGAGCUUCCACUUAAACAGUGGGAAGGUGACACUCUGCUCAGUACUUCCAUCUAAUGUUUCAUAUACACCUAACAAUGAACCAGGGAGGAACACAUCCCCACCUGUAAUGAGAGAUUCUUUGCCCCAGCUGGUCCCACCACCCUUCAGCCCCAAAUGAACACAAAUGCUAUAUUAGUUAUAAAUCAGUUGGUUGGUAAUAGGGCUUCUUAUUGGAUAGCUCUGUCUUAAUUAUUAACCCAUUUCUAUUAAUCUAAGUAUUUCCAUGGGUCUUGGCUUACUAGAGAACUCCUGGUGUGUCCUCUCUUCCCAGGCUCACAUGGCAACUCUGUCUGCCUACAUUUCAAAGAAUUUUCCUCAUCUCCUAGCCCUGCCUAGACUUCCUUCCUCUAUUGGCUAUUGGCCAAACAGUGUUUUAUUCAUCAACCAAUAAGAGAAACAUAUACACAAAAGAACAUCCCCAAUCACCCACCCAAUUUUAUUGAGCGACUACUGAAGCUGAUGGUCACAAGAAACACUCACCUAAUGAUACCAACAUGUAUGAACCAAAAGCACACACUAUUAGUGCUGAAUUAAACCUUAAACUAGUAAAAGAAUUUUGUGUUUAUCUCUUCUUGCUGAAGCUACCCAUGUAUCUCACAUAGUGUCAAGAAAAACUGCAGGGCAAACAAUAGAAUGGUGGAGCAGAGGUGAGGUAGGAUUGAUUUGGGAGGAAGAGAAUAACAGUUACCUGGGCUGAAGACAAUGAGUCUAAAGUAAGGGCUGAGACACCCAGCCGGCACUACUGUAUGUUCCUGAAAUAGAAGCAGGAGAGUGUGCUUCCUGCGACACGAAACAGAACAAAAACACUAUGGGCAGAAGCUUCAAGGACUUUAAGAAGAGGCAAGUGCUC